UACGUAGGGACCAAGCGUUGUUCGGAUUUACUGGGCGUAAAGGGCGCGUAGGCGGCGCGGUAAGUCACUUGUAAAAUCUCUGAGCUUAACUCAGAACGGCCAAGUGAUACUGCAGUGCUAGAGUGUGGAAGGGGCAAUCGGAAUUCUUGGUGUAGCGGUGAAAUGCGUAGAUAUCAAGAGGAACACCUGAGGUGAAGACGGGUUGCUGGGCCAACACUGACGUGAUGCGCGAAAGCCCAGGGGAGCAAACGGG
rnacentral:rRNA from 1 species